CCUACGGGGCGCUGCAGUGGGGGAUAUUGCACAAUGGGGGAAACCCUGAUGCAGCGACGCCGCGUGUAGGAAGACGGUCCUCUGGAUUGUAAACUACUGUCCCCAGGGACGAAGAUGACGGUACCUGGGGAGGAAGCUCCGGCUAACUACGUGCCAGCAGCCGCGGUAAUACGUAGGGAGCGAGCGUUGUCCGGAAUUACUGGGUGUAAAGGGAGCGUAGGCGGGGAUGCAAGUUGGGUGUUAAAUCUACCGGCUCAACUGGUAGUCGCACUCAAAACUGCAGCUCUUGAGUGAAGUAGAGGCAGGCGGAAUUCCUAGUGUAGCGGUGAAAUGCGUAGAUAUUAGGAGGAACACCAGUGGCGAAGGCGGCCUGCUGGACGAUGACUGACGCUGAGGCUCGAAAGCGUGGGGAGCAAACAGGAUUAGAUACCCUUGUAGUC
rnacentral:rRNA from 1 species